rnacentral:piRNA from 1 species
ACCAAGGUCAUGAGGUCUCAAGGACUUGU